rnacentral:rRNA from 1 species
UACGUAGGGGGCAAGCGUUGUCCGGAAUCAUUGGGCGUAAAGAGCGUGUAGGCGGCCCGGUAAGUCCGCUGUGAAAGUCCAGGGCUCAACCCUGGGAUGCCGGUGGAUACUGUCGGGCUCGAGUCCGGAAGAGGAGUGUGGAAUUCCUGGUGUAGCGGUGAAAUGCGCAGAUAUCAGGAGGAACACCAAUGGCGAAGGCAGCACUCUGGGACGUGACUGACGGCUGAGACGCGAAAGCGUGGGGGAGCAAACAGG